GUGCUUUCUUCAGCAUCACAUAUACUAAAAGUGGAAUGACGCAGAGAAGGUUAGCAUGGCUCCUGUCCAAAAAUGACACACAAAUUUAUGAAGCGUUCCAUAUUUUU
rnacentral:snRNA from 1 species